rnacentral:rRNA from 1 species
CGAGGAACCUUACUUGGGCUCUAAUGCUAGUGCUAUUUCCUGAAAGGGACAGUUUCUUCGGAACACGAAGCAAGGUGCUGCAUGGUUGUCGUCAGCUCGUGCCGUGAGGUGUUGGGUUAAGUCCCGCAACGAGCGCAACCCUUAUCACUAGUUGCCAGCACAUAAGGUGGGGACUCUAGUGAGACUGCCGGCGUAAGCCGUGAGGAAGGUGGGGACGACGUCAAAUCAUCAUGGCCUUUAUGCCUAGGGCUACACACGUGCUACAAUGGCGAGUACAGAGGGUAGCGAAGCCGCAAGGUGGAGCCGAUCUCAUAGAACUCGUCCCAGUUCGGAUUGAAGUCUGGAACUCGACUUCAUGAAGGUGGAAUCGCUAGUAAUCGCGCAUCAGCCAUGGCGCGGUGAAUACGUUCCCGGACCUUGUACACACC